rnacentral:lncRNA from 1 species
CUAAAUUCAGGCUGCAGGAAUCUGCUUCAGCCCGCUGCUAUGAUCUCUACAUCAGAGCCAACACUAAAUCUCCCUCCAUUUUAAACUUUAUUCAUAAUUAUCUUUCAUAUAUGUAUAAAUUCGUUCUUCUGAACCGGGCAAUGUUAGGUGACAAGUUCCACUCAAAAGUUGGGUUCUGGAUCCUCUUGUUCAACGACCAUACCAGUUUACAGUUUCUCUAGAAGUUGGAAGUUGAGCUGCUCGGGUGGGAAUUGUCAAGGGGAUAACAAGUUUCCUCCCCGCCAGUGUUCCAUAAGAAAUUGGCAUAGUUAGAAGCAUAAUGAGAACUGUCAGGUUCAACCGACAGGGCUUGCAAAUAUCUUUCUUCUGCUGCCCAAAAGUCCUGCCUAACUUUCCACAGAAAGGUAGCGUACUGGCUCAAGGAUUCCGCAUCUGGUGGUUCUGAUUGUACCGCCUGCUUGAAACACUGCUCUGCCCUGUAAAUGUCAGCCAGUAGCUAAGCAAAGGUAUAGGAGAAACUGAGGUAAAUAUAACACAGUUCUCUACAAGAUCAAGUUGUUACUCAAAUAAAAACCCAUGAGCAUAUCCAACAUCAUGCCUUUCAUUCCCGGAGUGACAGAGGAAUCAUACCAUUCUAGCCAGGUUUUUUUUUUUUCAUGCUUUUCCCUGUGGUUCAGAGAAAGCUGCAAUCGAUAGGAAUUCCCUAAUCCUUCCCUAUAAAUAAUCAUGAACCAUUUGAUUGAUUGUCAUAUAUAAGCUCAUUUACAUUGCCAAUUAGCGGACAAUUUGAAGUCUGGUUUUGUUCCUAUCUAAUGUUGACCUAAAUGCUUGUAAACGUUCUUAAAAUUGAUAAGCCAAAGAAAACAGAAUUCAGAAUGUCUAUAGCCAUGUGAUUAAUAAGAAAACGGUUUGAAAAUUGAGAAAAUUACCUGUCAUAAUCGUGGGUAACAAGAUGCAGAAACUGUGCAUAAUUGCAUAGUAGAAGUGGAUUGUUAGGCUCCUGAGAAAGGGCAGUCUGGUAUAGAAGGUCAGUCCUAAGAUAAUCCUCAUAGUCAUCGGGUUCUAGCUCAACAGAUACCGGGGAAACAAACCUUUGCGUUGUGUCCUGAUCAAGAAUCGCAUUCCUAAAACCUGCUUGAAUCUUAGUUGCUUCUUCCACCACUGAGUUCCACAAAUUCGACUCCUCUACACUCCUCAUAUCUUGAUGUUCAACCUGCAAAAGUUCUUCGUGAAGAACUUGAGAAUAUCCACUCGCCUUUGAUGGAUUGAUCUUUUGGUCGUUCCCAGCUACACUUCCUUCAGAUAGAACAUAAUCUCUCUCUGAAACUCCACUGUCUGAAACCAAAGUUGAUUCUAUUGAUGAAGAUCCAAGUAAGGAGGCUUCUGCAAUUGAAACGUUGUGGCACGCAGAAUAUACACUAAAAUUUGCUAAUAGGACCAUCAUAUAUAUCAUCAAUGCGGGUGUUCUUGAAAACACUUGCCGAAAAAGCCACACAAAUGACGAAUGCAUUUCCUUUUGUACUUUAGCUAUAAUAAUCUCUAGAUCUUCAUGGCACAACGCUUCUCUCAUCUGUAAUGCAUAGCUCUGAAGCUCGACGACAAUGAAUACCAUUGAAGCAAAAGCCUUUUCCACCGAGCAACAAACUGAAUCUCCAGAAUGCGUAAAGGCCUCUUCCAACUGUAGUUUCUUCUUUACCAUUCUUAGAGAAAGAGGAAGAUCAAAGCUCUUAGCCUUCUGUUCAAGAGACGCCCACAUAACAGCCUCCCGUUCUGGCCAAUCCGGGGCCUCGGGUCUAAUCCCGAGCUUUAUGGGUUCCAGGAAAUCAAAUUCCGAUUGGCAGAAUGAAUUUUUAAUCAUUAAAUAUUUACUGGUAGAAGGACUGGUUUCAGAUACUUCAUAAUGUAGCCUUUUACUCCUAUCUCCUCCAUUCUCUCCCCAUCCCAACAGGCUAAAUCUUUCCGUUAAUCCUUCUACAGGAUUGGAGGGUUCCUCAUAAAAAAUAUCACCCAAGUUUGAACGACAAGAUCGUUUAACAGUAUGGCCUCGAAAAAGAGUCUUGCUUAAAGUUUGGGACCUCCGGACGUUUUCAGACGAAAAGGGAUUAGAAAGGACAACUUGAUAGACUUUUUGGUUUCUUUUGCAAUAUCUCAUCGAAGAAGACGACGAGUUAUAAAGGGAUGAAGAUAGUGAAGAACCAAAGGCUUGAGGGACAACAUGGAUUGGACAUUCUACCAUGGAUGAAACCAUUUCAAACCUUUCCUAAUUGCAGAAAUGAUGAAAAGAUGAGAAAAUAACAAAAAGGAUUGAGAAAAAACAGGGGUUAAAUAUAAAAAUAGGAAAAGUGAGGAAGAAAUAGUCAAGUCAGGCAACAGAAUGCCCGUGUAUAAAGGAUCUUUUUAAUCUAGCCAAUCUAUGAAUCUCUCUUAGAUCUUUAAAGACAUGGACCAAACUCUAGAUUUUUCGAGGAUUGCUUUAAAUUCAAUCCAUCAUGUGAUAUACAGAUGAAAAGGCAAGAUUUUACAUCAUUGCAUUUUUUUACCAAAAUAACGAAAAUCUCUAUGGCCCCACUCCCAAUCUACCAUAAUACAACAAGUCAACGGCAAAAACAAAACAGGAAAAAAAAAAAAAUCUUUUAACAUGUUAAGCCCCGUUUGUUUCAUGUAAAAUAAAGCCAAACGAAUAUCAAAAAAUACUUUUAUUUCAACAUUUUCCACGUGGAAAAUUAUAUCAAUCAAACACAAUAAUUUACAAUUCUCAGAAAAAUAAUAUCUAGGCAAUUCAAUUUCCUGAAAUUCGUUUUCAAUUAAAUUUAAUUCCAUCUUUGCAAUCUAACAGACUCUAAGCUAUAAAAAAAUGUUUGUCAAAUUGACAGACGUACUUGUCAAAAUUUAUCUUACAAUUUGAAAAUGUGAAUCAAUGUUGCACAAACUUAGAAAAAGUUAAAAAUUUCUUUGUGCUAUUGAUUUGUUAAUAAAUUAAAUCAAUUUUCUUAAAUAAGAGAUAGAGAUUUCUAGAAUUAAAGAAUUCUUAGAAAAACGAAAAAUGUUAAAUAUAGUGAAAUCUUUGGGAGAAAUAAUUCUUUCGAAAAGUUUGCUGUGAACGAACAUCAAAAUGCGGUUUGAGAAAGAAAGAUGCAUUUUGACGAAAAAUUAUUCCUACUAUAGUUUGAAAAGGCAUCGAGCCAUAUACAGUGUGAAAAGAGGAAGAUCUAAGGUACCACCUGUCUCUUGCAGAAUUUUUAAUUAAAUUCAAUAGGACAAUCAUCGGGAAUCAAAUUUCAAAACAUACAUAUGGAUUCAUAUGAUAUCCAAGAAGAUUAAACUCAAACAGUAGAAUAAUAAUAAAAAGAACAAUGCUUUAUUUACGAGCAUGCAGAGGAGAAUGUCGUAGCAUUUUUCAACCUUCAAAGCACAGAUUCAUUUUCUCGAGCUACGUGCAUUGUAAAUUCAUAGCCUAAACUUUCAGAAUCAUAAAAUUUGAAUCAUGAGCCUAGCUAAGGCUUUGUCCUUGUAACAUUUUCUAUACAGACAGCCUUCUUUUAGAGGAAACUUAAUCGUAGAUCCAAUGUGGGAUGAUCCAUUUCUGUCCCAAUACUGUAUGAAUUCUCUUUGCAGGAAUCAUUUGCAAACAAUCUACGCUUCUCCGACUCCAUCGGCUCCCUGAAUGAGUUGAGUGGAAAUAGUUGCAAAGUCUCCGGUACUCUUUCAGCCUCAGAAUUAACCUGAUUUAACUCUGCGAGAUCUGUCAAAGAAGAAACAAAAUAUUCAUUAGGUUCCCUUUAAAUUCAAAUUUUUCAUUUUAUUGUUGUUAUUGGAAGAUAUGUCAAGAAUUUAGUUGACUUACAUUUUGCUGAUGAAAGCUUUUCUUGGUGGUGGAAUUCAUUAGGUUCGUCGACCAAAACUCUGCGGCGUUUCUGUCUUUCUCUAGCUUUAUGGUUUUGAAACCAAUAAAAAACAUUUUUGCUCUCGAUCUUACCAUAAAAGCUCAACUGAGAAGAUAUCUUUUGGAUCUGAUCAGUACUAGGAGUUCGGAGCCCAGACCUGAACAAGUCUGUAAGAACUUUAACCUGUUCAGUUGUUGGAUUCCACCUCCCACACUUGGUCCCUGUGCCGCCACUGCUGCCAUUAUUGCCACCACCAAGUUGCUUAAUACAAAAGCCUGAUACUUCAUCCAUCACUCAAAUACUGUCUAUAUACAGCUUCUGGAAAAUUUUCUUUCAGUUCUGACCAGUUUCUGAACUCAAAAGGAAGUGAGUGAGUUUACCGAUAUAUAUAUAGUAUAAAUUGAGGAUUUGAUCGUCUGGUUUUUUGUGUAGAUGGAGAUAAAAAUGCACAAAAGUUGCCACUGUUCAAAAGUUAGGCCUGCGAGCAGACAAAAAGGGUGAGUCGUCGAAAAUUACAUUAAAAAUCUCAAAUAAAUAUCAAUUAAGAAAUCACUUGCAUUGAAAACAUUAGCUACUCAUGCUUUUUUAUUUAUAUAUAGCUGCGGUUCUCAAGAUCUUCUCUUUGAUCUUUAUAUACACAAGUUAUUCUCAUAAAAAAUAAAUAAAAAUAAAUAAUUAAAAAAAAACUGUUUUACAAAAAAUAUUGUUAUUAUGAAAACCAAACUUAUUUAAAGGAAAAUAAUAAAAAAAAAUGAGACAAACUAUUAUUUAUAUAGUAAGGCAUUCUAAAAAGAACAAUGCCUUCAGGACAUAAGAGUAAUCCAAAUCACUGUUCAUGAACUAUUAGAUUAUGUGAGUUGUACUGGCAAAACAAAGAUAUAUGGAUAUGAAAGUCAAAGUUCACAUUGUCCGAUCCUAGUUGGAUAGUUUUACUGACAUGGAUACUGAAUUUAGUUGACCAAAUGAACUGUUCAGUCAAAGAUUGUUGGAUUAGAACUCCUUUUAAGGGAUUGGGGACAGAAACAAAAGGACAUAAAAGCCACCAAAUUGAGAUUUUAGAGAUAGCCAACACAUGAGCAAUUACUAAAAGUAGACCAACUUGGCUUUUCUCACGUCCAUGGUUCAUGUCUUAUAGGCUAUUAGUGUUAUUUAAUUGAAAUUUUUCAGCUAAUCCAAGAAACGCAUGACAAUAUGAUAAUUAGCAAAAUUGAUUAACAAAUUAUAAGUUAUUGUGUUUGGUUUCUAGGGUAGUGGGGCUUGUCUCUUGAUACUUUAUAUUAUUCUACGCUAUUUAAAUUACAAACUUUCGUAACAUGAUGAGGAAGUUCUAGUAGAGUAAAAUAAAGUACUUUCGGAAAAUUAAUAAAACGUGUUCAAAUGAAAUAUUUAAUCUCAAAAGUAGUUUUUGACAUUUUUAGAAGCUUUAUUAAAUAGACCUGAAAUGAGAAAGAAAACUAAUGAUCUUGUAAGGUUCAUGUCUUUCCAAAUUUUAUUCAUUUGUGCAGUCUAAUGCAUCUAAUAGAAGCCACUAAUGUAGCAAAUGGUAGAUUCAUUUGUUUGUAAAUUAUUGCAUAGAAAAGACAUUAUAAAUUAAGAUGUUGUUCCACUUAAUCUUUGUUAAUUGUUUAAUUUAUUUUCCACUAGGUUUCGAUAGACACAUGAUUCAAUAAAAAUAAUAUAGAAAUGGCGAAGCCAAUAUAUGUUUAUGCUUUCCACAAUUCCCGAGAAUGUUACAUAAAUUAGCUGAUUUGUCUGUUUGCAUUUGGCUCUCCAUUCCAUCAACUCCUACGAAUCUCACUUCACUCAACACAACAACACUUGGCAUUUUGUUAUUUUCAAUUUACGUACAACUUGUGAAUAAGUUAAAAAUUGUUUAUAAGAUAAGAAGUUGUUUUUAAUAUUUUUGUAAAUAUUUUGUCUUAACAAAAAGAUUUUGAAAUAACUUUCUCAAAAACUCUUCUACAAAAAGCAAAAAUCCUGUCAAAUGAGCUCUAAAUUAGUGAAGUUUAACGUCAUUAUUUUGUAUUAAAAAUUAAAUUGAAAAAUUAAAGAACAUUACAUCAAUUCUCUCUUUUUAGUACUGUGUUGUUUCAUGCUUGUUUUCAUUUCUUAUCUAUCUUAUGUUCAAGAUGUAUUUAGUACUUUAAGAAUUCCAUUAGUUCCACAUUAAAAUUUAAAUAUACCCAAUCAAACUCUAGCUCUCGUGUUUUCGAAAAUCUUGCUUACUGGUUAAAUAUGAUUUGUUAUAUUGGAGACAAAAUUAAAAGAAAUUUAUUUCUUUUCUAAUGACUUAAAUUUUCAAUAAAUAAAAUGAUUCAACGACACCAUAACAUGGCAAAUAAUUUUGUUUUGAUGCUAUUCAAGUUAAAAUAAAAACAUUGCUCUUCAAAAAAAAAAAAUCUUAGUUAAACACACGUUAUUUCUGAAAUUGAUAUAAACCAUUUUUAUAAAAAUGUAUUUUUGAUUGAUCAUAUGACAAAUUAAAAUAAAACCAUCGUUUUAAAAAUGAAUUAUUUCAUUUUCCGGGAUAUAAAAAUCAUUUUUAUAGGAAAAAUCAAAAGGUGAGGUGGGUAAUGUGCAAAUGUGUUCGGAUUUUCCUGUCAUUAACAAUCCUCCAAGUAGAUAGUGAUAACUGAUUGUAAAACGCGCACACAUAAACAGGAAAAUGUUUUUCAGUGAGAUUCGAGAAGGCUAAAUGCAUAAUGUUUUGUACAAAUUAAUUAAAAUAAUAAUGUAAGAGUGCAUGCGAGAAAUGUAGGCGGCCCUAAUUUCCGUCAGUUUCUUUCUUGUCUCCACUACCUAAUGGAAAUUUAACUGAAAUCCCCCAUUUCCCCAACAUUUUCAUUAUUGUUGGGAGAGAAACACUGUCCAAUUUGCUGAUCUGUUAGUGCACAUAAUAUAUAUGAAAACAAGGAAAGGGGACUACUUUCGUAUAUUCUUUUACAUUUCAGACGCAGUGUACAAUUUUAUUUUCUGCAUCUUUAAAAUACCAGGAUUUUUGAGAGAAAAAAGUCUUAUAAAGUAAAAUUAGAAAAGAGGCUACGCACUUUUAAUUGAAGGUAAGCGUAACAGAUGUUGAUUUAUUUACAACGAGGAGCAACUGUUAUUUAUUUAUACCGAGGGCUUUAUGUAUAGCAAUUGAGGAUAACUAUACGAAAAAUAUUUUCAAAUUUGAUAUUUAACUCAAAUGUCACUUUGUGUUAUAUUCAACAAUGAUUUCGUCCUCGCCAUCAUAGGAAAAAUAGGAUGUUAUCCACAAUUGUCGUUAAUAAUGUCUUAAAUAAUUUUUUUUCCUACUAUUGAAUUACUUUAGCCAAUGUAAAAAUAAUCCUUUAAUUUUAUCCCUUGCGUGAGGAUUUUAUUUUGGAGUCGUGCUUUAUCGAUGGUACCUACACGAGGCUACACAACUUUAGGAUAGUGAUUUUCAAAUUUGUCAAAUAUGCUGCAGGGACUUUGUGGAUAAUCUUCGAUUUUUCCGUGAAGCUACAUAAGUUUGGUUGUGUUGGAAAAUAUGGGUCGUGAUUUGCUCAUGACAAAUGACCACAAAACAUUAAAGAUGUUGGAGGGAGUGACUUGACUUGAAAUUCAAACAUUUGACUCUCUAUAAUCACUCUUAACUUCCAUAUAACCUCCAAUUUUUUAUCUAGCAUUUGAGAGAGAGAAUGAUGAAAAGAAAAAUGGUGAAAUUCGUGUGGAAAAUAUCAUCAAAAUUGGAAAGGUCCUAAAAUCAAUAUUUUAGUAUGAGAACUCACAAAAUAAGACACUUUGAUUGUGGAUAAUAAUUCCCUUUCAUUAUGUUUGAGAUUGAGACAAUUGAAGUGCAAGAAAUUGCAAAUUUGGAAAGUAAGGUGAUUCAAUCAUUCAAAAAAUCUUGAAAUUCAUAUUUUCAAGUAAGAAUUCUUGAUCCGAAAUUCAUGUUAAAGAAUGCUAUGAGUUAUUACAGGUAGCUUCAAGCAUUCGAUGAUGAUGAUGAUAAAGGAAACCAUGCUUUUAAGUUUCCUUAUAAAUUUAAGAUAAUACUUUUUUUCAUUCACAAAACAGAUACUAUUGUAAAAAAUAAUUUAAAUAUAUUUUUUAGUAUUUGGUUUUUCAUUUUCCCGGAUCGAGAUUACCAAACACUCAUCCAAGUCAUUCUUUCAUGAUUAGGUAGGCUGUAGAGGGCUUUUUAUUUUAGUAUAAUUUAGUAAAUAUUAUGGUAAGUUUACUGUUCAAAUUUUGAAUUUCAUUAAGCACUCUGGUGGAGAGAGAAAUCUUUCAUCUUUACAUAUUUGCUCGAUCUGGUGAGAGAAAUCUCAUCAUUAUCAUUUAUCCAUAAUCUCGUUCUUCAUUCUAAAAUAUUGGACAAAAUCUUUAUGUAUUUUGCUUUCGGGGAGAAAGGAAGUCGCAAAUACCAUUGUCUACAUAUGUCACAACCUAUGGGCGAAAAUAAGUCACAAAAAUAAUAUUAUCACAGCACGAUUUUAUAUAAAACUGACAUAACAAAUAUAGUUAACACGAAUAUAACCUUGGUCCGGUGGCCAGUGCAUAUGAGAUCACGAUUUUUAUACAUUUGACAUAAUUUUGGACAGAGACAUAUGACAUACUAGAUCAACUUUAUUCAUAUUCGUCUUAAACUAAAUCACACAUAAAGUGACAUAACAUAACAUAAUUUCAAACGUUUGAUGCAUUUUGUUGGCUAUGAUCUGUCACAGUAUGAUGUAGAUCAUUAGUUGUGAUGAGAUAAAGGUAAAGAAAAAAUUUAACCAAUGAAGCAACAAUUCCAAUUCCUUCAUAAAUGGUCACAUGGAUGAAUAUGGAUCUUGCUUAAUUUUAGGGUAAAAUAUGGUGAGAGGGAGAAUAUAUAUCUGAAAACUUUCUCAAAUUUUGAUAUUUUUGCAAACGUAAUCUAAAAAAUGAUGCAUCAAGUGUAGAUAACAAGCUUUACUUGUCAUGGAGCUCGUUCCAUAACUAAGGCGUAGACGAUUAAGAGUGCAUUACACUUUAGACUUAGUAAAACCCUCUACACCUCCUCUUUGCCCCUCAUUCUUUGAAUAGCUAUAUUAUCCCAUACAUGGCCCAUUCAACAAUUCGAACUCUCACAUAGAAAUUCGCUUGCAUUGACCAUUCAUCCCAUUCAAGUCUACCGAUUUCGCAAGGCCAUUUAUGGUAUGGUUAAUGAACUGCAAGGGUUCUUGAUAUCUUAUGCAUUCACGAACUCGCAUGGUAAUAUUUCUCCAUUUAUAAAAAUGUAUCCAUAUCCAAGUCAACUAGUGUCACAACAACGAGGCACUCUAAUAUCUACAACAUUUACAACUUCGUUGAGAGUAAGUUCCUUGCUCAAGGUUAUAACCGACGUUACUUUUUCCAUGCCUUCAAUUUUUGGACAUGUCACUGGCACAAAACAUAACAAGAAGCAAUAGACUAGACAGUAAUUUCUCUAAGCUAAAAAUGAAUUUGAAACCAUUUUCCAACAUUAUAUAUAUGUUUUAAGCUUUAGUUACACAAAACAUGCAGUUUUACUAAAUUCAGGCUGCAGGAAUCUGCUUCAGCCCCCUGCUAUGAUCUCUACAUCAGAGCCAACACUAAAUCUCCCUCCAUUUUAAACUUUAUUCAUAAUUAUCUUUCAUAUAUGUAUAAAUUCGUUUUUCUGAACCGGGCAAUGUUAGGUGACAAGUUCCAAUCGAGUUGGGUUCUGGAUUCCUCUUGUUCAACGACCAUACCAGUUUACAGUUUCUCUAGAAGUUGGAAGUUGAGCUGCUCGGGUGGGAAUUGUCAAGGGGAUAACAAGUUUCCUCCCCGCCAGU